UACGGGGGGGGCAAGCGUUGUUCGGAAUUACUGGGCGUAAAGGGCUCGUAGGUGGCCAACUAAGUCGGACGUGAAAUCCCUCAGCUUAACUGGGGAACUGCGUCCGAUACUGGAUGGCUUGAGUUUGGGAGAGGGAUGCGGAAUUCCAGGUGUAGCGGUGAAAUGCGUAGAUAUCUGGAGGAACACCGGUGGCGAAGGCGGCAUCCUGGACCAACACUGACACUGAGACACGAAAGCGUGGGUAGCAAACAGG
rnacentral:rRNA from 1 species